rnacentral:rRNA from 1 species
GUUGUAUGGUUAAGUGACUAAGCGUACACGGUGGAUGCCUUGGCAGUUGGAGGCGAUGAAGGACGUAUUAACUUGCGAUAAGCCUAGUCAAGCUAGUAAAAAGCGCUUGAGGCUAGGAUUUCCGAAUGGGGAAACCCACCUGCUUGCAGGUAUCUUACACUGAAUACAUAGGUGUAAGAGGCGAACGCGGAGAACUGAAACAUCUAAGUACCCGUAGGAACAGAAAUCAACCGAGAUUCCGGAAGUAGCGGCGAGCGAAACCGGACCAGCCCUUAAGCUUAUUAUGUGUUAGUGGAACAUUCUGGAAAGUUUGACGAUACAGGGUGAUAGUCCCGUACACGAAAAUGCAUCUUAAGUGAAAUCGAGUAGGUCGGAGCACGUGAAACUUUGACUGAAUAUAGGUGGACCAUCAUCUAAGGCUAAAUACUCCCAACUGACCGAUAGUGAACCAGUACCGUGAGGGAAAGGCGAAAAGAACCCCUGUGAGGGGAGUGAAAUAGAACCUGAAACCGUGUACGUACAAGCAGUAGGAGCCCUUCGAGGGUGACUGCGUACCUUUUGUAUAAUGGGUCAGCGACUUAUAUUUUGUAGCGAGGUUAACCGAUUAGGGUAGCCGUAGGGAAACCGAGUCUUAACUGGGCGUAUAGUUGCAAGGUAUAGACCCGAAACCCGGUGAUCUAGCCAUGGGCAGGUUGAAGGUUGAGUAACAUCAACUGGAGGACCGAACCCACUAACGUUGAAAAGUUAGGGGAUGACCUGUGGCUAGGAGUGAAAGGCUAAUCAAACCGGGAGAUAGCUGGUUCUCCCCGAAAUCUAUUUAGGUAGAGCCUCGGACGAAUACUUACGGGGGUAGAGCACUGUUAAGGCUAGGGGGUCAUCCCGACUUACCAACCCUUUGCAAACUCCGAAUACCGUAAAGUACUAUCCGGGAGACACACGGCGGGUGCUAACGUCCGUCGUGAAGAGGGAAACAACCCAGACCGCCAGCUAAGGUCCCAAAGUCAUAGUUAAGUGGGAAACGAUGUGGAAAGGCCCAGACAGCCAGGAGGUUGGCUUAGAAGCAGCCAUCCUUUAAAGAAAGCGUAAUAGCUCACUGGUCGAGUCGGUCUGCGCGGAAGAUGUAACGGGGCUAAACUAUGCACCGAAGCUGCGGAUUCAAACUUUGUUUGAGUGGUAGGGGAGCGUUCUGUAAGCCGUUGAAGGUGUACCGGGAGGUAUGCUGGAGGUAUCAGAAGUGCGAAUGCUGACAUGAGUAACGAUAAUGCGGGUGAAAAACCCGCACGCCGGAAGACCAAGGGUUCCUAUCCCAUGUUAAUCAGGGUAGGGUAAGUCGACCCCUAAGGCGAGGCCGAAAGGCGUAGUCGAUGGGAAACGGGUUAAUAUUCCCGUACUUGGUAUAAUUGCGAUGGGGGGACGGAGCAGGCUAAACAAGCAUGGCGUUGGUUGUCCAUGUGAAAGUGAGUAGGUUG